GGGAAGCGGCGAACGGGUGAGUAACACCCAUGUGAUCUGCCCAUCAGACGGGGACAACGAUUGGAAACGCUUGCUAAUACCGGAUAGGACGAAAGUUUAAAGAUGCUCCUGGCAUCACUGAUGGAUGAGCCUGCGGCGCAUUAGCUAGUUGGUGGGGUAAAGGCCUACCAAGGCGACGAUGCGUAGCCGACCUGAGAGGGUGAACGGCCACACUGGGACUGAGACACGGCCCAGACUCCUACGGGAGGCAGCAGUAGGGAAUCUUCGGCAAUGGGCGAAAGCCUGACCGAGCAACGCCGCGUGAAUGAAGAAGGCCUUCGGGUUGUAAAAUUCUGUUAUAAGGGAAGAAAGGUGAUAGGAGGAAAUGACUAUCAAUUGACGGUACCUUAUGAGAAAGCCACGGCUAACUACGUGCCAGCAGCCGCGGUAAUACGUAGGUGGCAAGCGUUAUCCGGAAUUAUUGGGCGUAAAGAGCGCGCAGGUGGUUAAUUAAGUCUGAUGUGAAAGCCCACGGCUUAACCGUGGAGGGUCAUUGGAAACUGGUUGACUUGAGUGCAGAAGAGGGAAGUGGAAUUCCAUGUGUAGCGGUGAAAUGCGUAGAGAUAUGGAGGAACACCAGUGGCGAAGGCGGCUUCCUGGUCUGCAACUGACACUGAGGCGCGAAAGCGUGNGGAGCAAACAGGAUUAGAUACCCUGGUAGUCCACGCCGU
rnacentral:rRNA from 1 species